AUUGAACGCUGGCGGCAGGCCUAACACAUGCAAGUCGAACGAGUGGCGGACGGGUGAGUAAUGUCGGGGAAACUGCCUGAUGGAGGGGGAUAACUACUGGAAACGGUAGCUAAUACCGCAUACCAUCAGAUGUGCCCAGAUGGGCUUAGCUUGUUGGUGGGGUAACGGCUCACAAGGGCGAAGAUCCCUAGCUGGUCUGAGAGGAUGAGCAGCCACACUGUAACGAGGACACUGUCCAGACUCCUACGGGAGGCAGCAGUGGGGAAUAGUGCACAAGGGGCGCAAGCCUGAUGCAGCCAUGCCGCGUGUAUGAAGAAGUCCUUCGGGUUUUAAAGUACUUUCAGCGGGGAGGCGUUACCCGCAGAAGAAGCACCGGCUAACUCCGUGCCAGCAGCCGCGGUAAUAC
rnacentral:rRNA from 1 species